AGUUCAGAUUGCAGGCUGCAACUCGCCUGCAUGAAGUCGGAAUUGCUAGUAAUCGCAGAUCAGCAUGCUGCGGUGAAUACGUUCCCGGGCCUUGUACACACCGCCCGUCACACCAUGGGAGUCGGUAACACCCGAAGUCGGUAGCCUAACCGUAAGGAGGGCGCGGCCGAAGGUGGGUUCGAUAAUUGGGGUGAAGUCGUAACAAGGUAAC
rnacentral:rRNA from 1 species